AUGGACGUGCUACUCCGCCUCGACGCCGUCCCGGGCCACGACCCAGCCGUGCAGGAGGUGAGGCAUGCUAUCAGCCGUUAUGUCGUCAGCCUCCAGGAGGUCUUCGACUCCAUGUUCGCGGCGCCAGAGGCCGACACCGACGAGAUCUGGGGUGUCGGAGAAGCGUCAUAUGUGCCGCCACCGGCGGCGUCCGCGGAGGAGGCGAGGAGGAGUGGCUGGGGCAUAGGAGAAGCAGCAACGGCAACUAGCAAUGUGCAGCAGAGGAGGAGGCGAUGA
rnacentral:rRNA from 1 species